rnacentral:rRNA from 1 species
AUGGUGUGCGCAAUCUGCCAUUCACAUUGUGAGAGUGACAAUGAGCAGACUUUUCGCAUUGUCAUCUGUGAUGACUACGAAGCUUUAGCGAACAUCCCAUGCACUGCAAGGAAUAGGUUUAACCAGAUGUCUAGGUUGAACUUUAAGGCGAACGGCCGUAGGUAUGUUGUUAAUGUGUACAGGGGACACGAAGCCACACUGAUUGGAGGUGAUGAUUGGACCAAGUUCAAGCGCGACUUCAACGUGGGGCAGGGCAAUGUAGUUGUUUUUCACAUGACUGGACGAACAACAAAGUUGAUGAAGAGGAAGAGGUUUUCAAUGAUGAUCACGGGCUUGAAGAUGCACUAG